rnacentral:rRNA from 1 species
GGAAGUAAGAAAGAGCGUAUGGGGGAUGCCUGUGGCUCUUGGAGGCGAUGAAGGACGUGGUAAGCUGCGAUAAGCCCGGGGGAUUAGCAAACGUGAAUUGAUCCCGGGAUUUCCGAAUGGGGCAACCCGGCAGACGGAAGGUCUGUCACAUCCGUAAGGGUGAGCUAACCCGCUGAACUGAAACAUCUAAGUAGGCGGAGGAGAAGAAAACAAAAGUGAUUCCCGGAGUAGUGGCGAGCGAAACGGGAUUAGCCCAAACCGAUGUUGUUACGGCAAUGUCGGGGUAAUAGGACUACGAUAUACGAAUGUCGACGAAGUGGAACUACCUGGAAAGGUAGGCAAUAAAGGGUGAAAGCCCCGUACACGUAAGUUUGGCUGGAGUUAGUAGUAUCCUGAGUAUGGCGGGACACGAGGAAUCCUGUCAGAAUUAGCCGGGACCACCCGGUAAGGCUAAAUACUCCCAAGAGACCGAUAGUGAACCAGUACCGUGAGGGAAAGGUGAAAAGUACCCCGAACAGGGGAGUGAAAAAGAACCUGAAACCAUGCGCUUACAACCUGUAGGAGCGGCUUAGUGCCGUGACUGCGUGCCUUUUGCAUAAUGAGCCUACGAGUUACUGAUCACUGGCGAGGUUAAGCACCAAUAGGUGCGGAGCCGAAGCGAAAGCGAGUCUGAAUAGGGCGAUAUAGUCAGUGGUCGUAGACGCGAAACCUUGCGAUCUACCCUUGAGCAGGAUGAAGGUUGGGUAAUACCAACUGGAGGUCCGAACCGAUAAGCGUUGAAAAGCUUCCGGAUGACUUGAGGGUAGGGGUGAAAGGCUAAUCAAGCUGGGAAAUAGCUCGUACUCCCCGAAAUGCUUUUAGGAGCAGCGUUAUAAUAGUUUGCCGCAGGUAGAGCUACUGAUUGGAUGCGGGGGCUUCACCGCCUACCAAAUCCUGACAAACUCCGAAUGGCGGUAAUAUGAUUUAUAGCAGUGAGCCACCGGGUGCUAAUGUCCGGUGACGAGAGGGAAAGAACCCAGACCAUCAGCUAAGGCCCCCAAACGUAUGCUAAGUUGAGUUAACGAUGUUUUGUUGCAGCGACAGCUAGGAUGUUAGCUUGGAAGCAGCUAUUCAUUUAAAGAGUGCGUAACAGCUCACUAGUCGAGCGACAGAGCGUGGAUAAUAACCGGGCAUCAAGCAUACUGCCGAAGCUAUGGACGAAAGUGGUAGGGGAGCAUUCCACCGCCGCUGAAGCUGAUCCGUGAGGAUUGGUGGAGGUUGUGGAAAAGCAAAUGUAGGCAUAAGUAACGAUAAGGCGGGUGAGAAACCCGCCCACCGCAAGACCCAGGUUUCCUGAUCAACGUUAAUCGGAUCAGGGUUAGUCGGGACCUAAGCGUAAGCCGAAGGGCGAUUCGCGAUGGAAGAUCGGUUAAUAUUCCGAUACCGGCUGCAACUGCGAUGGAGUGACACAGACACGUAAGCACCGCGACCUGACGGAAUAGGUCGUUAAAGCGCGUAGGUAUAGGCUUUCGUUAAUAGCGAGAGUUUGCUGAAACGUGACAGUACCGCGAGGCUUCGGCCGAGCGGAUAGUGUGCCCAAGUAUGCUGUCGAGAAAACCUUCUAAGCUAUAGGUUGCAGCUGCCCGUACCGUAAACCGACACAGGUGGUCGAGGAGAGUAUCCUAAGGUGCUCGAGUGAAUCACGGUUAAGGAACUAGGCAAAUUAACCCCGUAACUUGGAAUAAGGGGUCCCCACGCGAGUGGGGCGCAGCGAAGAGGUCCAGGCGACUGUUUAUCAAAAACACAGGGCUCUGCUAAGUCGCAAGACGACGUAUAGGGCCUGACACCUGCCCGGUGCUGGAAGGUUAAGAGGGGAUGUCAUCGCAAGAGAAGCAUUGAAUCGAAGCCCCAGUAAACGGCGGCCGUAACUAUAACGGUCCUAAGGUAGCGAAAUUCCUUGUCGGGUAAGUUCCGACCUGCACGAAUGGUGUAACGAUCUGCCAUGAGCUCGGUGAAAUUGUAGUCCCGGUGAAGAUGCCGGGUACCCGCAACGGGACGAAAAGACCCCGUGAACCUUUACUAUAGCUUAACGCUGGUUUUGGGUGCAUAAUGUGUAGGAUAGGCAGGAGACUGUGAAGCGGGCACGCCAGUGCUUGUGGAGUCGCCGUUGAAAUACUGCCCUUUGUGUAUUUGAAACCUAACCCUUAACGGGGGACACCGUUUGGUGGGUAGUUUGACUGGGGUGGUCGCCUCCAAAAGCGUAACGGAGGCUUCCCAAGGUACCCUCAGCACGAAUGGUAACCGUGCGUAGAGUGCAAUGGCACAAGGGUGCUUGACUGCGAGACCGACAAGUCGACCAGGUGCGAAAGCAGGGCAUAGUGAUCCGGUGGUUCUGUGUGGACUGGCCAUCGCUCAAAGGAUAAAAGGUACUCCGGGGAUAACAGGCUGAUCGCCG